rnacentral:rRNA from 1 species
GACGAACGCUGGCGGCGUGCUUAACACAUGCAAGUCGAGCGGUAAGGCCCUUCGGGGUACACGAGCGGCGAACGGGUGAGUAACACGUGGGUGAUCUGCCUCGCACUUCGGGAUAAGCCUGGGAAACUGGGUCUAAUACCGGAUAUGACCACGGAUCGCAUGGUUUGUGGUGGAAAGGUUUACUGGUGCGAGAUGGGCCCGCGGCCUAUCAGCUUGUUGGUGGGGUAAUGGCCUACCAAGGCGACGACGGGUAGCCGGCCUGAGAGGGCGACCGGCCACACUGGGACUGAGACACGGCCCAGACUCCUACGGGAGGCAGCAGUGGGGAAUAUUGCACAAUGGGCGAAAGCCUGAUGCAGCGACGCCGCGUGAGGGAUGACGGCCUUCGGGUUGUAAACCUCUUUCGACAGGGACGAAGCGGAAGUGACGGUACCUGUAGAAGAAGCACCGGCCAACUACGUGCCAGCAGC